UUAAAUCAACCCUAAAUCUAGAAUUGUGAACUCCAAGAUCGAACCCAAACAUCACCUAGAAAGUUCCAUUCUUUUCUCUCGACUAGCUUGUGUAAGGGAAAAAUGUUCUUGAUCGUUUGGGCAUUCGAAUCUCACAAAUCGGGAAGCGUAAUGAUCGAACUUAGGAUCGAAAUUGGCAUGCAGAUGUACG